rnacentral:rRNA from 1 species
UACGGAGGGUGCAAGCGUUAUCCGGAUUCACUGGGUUUAAAGGGCGCGUAGGCGGUUGUAUGAGUGUGAUGUGAAAGCCCCGGGCUCAACCUGGGAAGUGCAUCGCAAACGAUACGACUAGAGUAUAUGAGAGGGUGGCGGAAUUUCCGGUGUAGCGGUGAAAUGCGUAGAGAUCGGAAGGAACGUCAAUGGCGAAGGCAGCCACCUGGCAUAAUACUGACGCUGAGGCGCGAAAGCGUGGGGAGCGAACAGG